rnacentral:lncRNA from 1 species
CCCAGAGUCUGAGACUGAAUUGAUUUCCAUUAUUUCCUGAGUAUUAACGUAAAUGGUACUGCAAAGAGAACAAACUCGGGAUGGCUCCAUGCAUGCCUGUGGCUGAGGUAGACUCUGGAGGCCUCAUCAUCGGACUAAUUGAGAUAAGAAAAACACCAAAAAAGCUCUAAUACCAUGUAUUUUUCCCUGCAGCACUCGCUUUUUCUAAGUUUGCUCUCUCUUUCCUUAUGUAAGCUGUAAGAAAGGAAAUAAUGGUUCGAGUGAAGUCCGUGGUUGAUGUCCCAAUCAAAACACAAGCCUCAUUAUUGAAAGAGCUACUUGCUGGUUCAUCAAUGAAGCAACCCGAAGUGAUGAAGAUGUAAGGAACGCAUCCUACGCUAGCACUGUUGCAGUUGGAAAGAGUACAUCAGAGAAAAAGAAGAAAGAAAAAAAAAAGAAAGAAAGAAAGAAAGAAAUCAGGCCAGCUCGAGUUUGGAAAAGAUAAAUAAAUC